rnacentral:pre_miRNA from 10 species
ACCUCGGAGAAAGCAAGGGUGUGUGUGUGUGUGUGUGUGUGUGUGUGCGCGCGCGCGCACAUGCCCGUGCACACAC